rnacentral:rRNA from 1 species
UGGGGAAUAUUGGACAAUGGGCGAAAGCCUGAUCCAGCCAUGCCGCGUGUGUGAAGAAGGUCUUCGGAUUGUAAAGCACUUUAAGUUGGGAGGAAGGGCCAUUACCUAAUACGUGAUGGUUUUGACGUUACCGACAGAAUAAGCACCGGCUAACUCUGUGCCAGCAGCCGCGGUAAUACAGAGGGUGCAAGCGUUAAUCGGAAUUACUGGGCGUAAAGCGCGCGUAGGUGGUUUGUUAAGUUGGAUGUGAAAUCCCCGGGCUCAACCUGGGAACUGCAUUCAAAACUGACUGACUAGAGUAUGGUAGAGGGUGGUGGAAUUUCCUGUGUAGCGGUGAAAUGCGUAGAUAUAGGAAGGAACACCAGUGGCGAAGGCGACCACCUGGACUGAUACUGACACUGAGGUGCGAAAGCGUGGGGAGCAAACA